rnacentral:rRNA from 1 species
ACUCCUACGGGAGGCAGCAGUGGGGAAUAUUGGACAAUGGGCGCAAGCCUGAUGCAGCAACGCCGCGUGAGGGAUGACGGCCUUCGGGUUGUAAACCUCUUUUAGCAGGGAAGAAGCGUGAGUGACGGUACCUGCAGAAACAGCACCGGCUAACUACGUGCCAGCAGCCGCGGUAAU